rnacentral:rRNA from 1 species
UACGUAGGGUGCAAGCGUUGUCCGGAAUUAUUGGGCGUAAAGAGCUCGUAGGCGGUCUGUCGCGUCUGCUGUGAAAACUCGGGGCUUAACCCCGGGCCUGCAGUGGGUACGGGCAGACUAGAGUGCGGUAGGGGAGACUGGAAUUCCUGGUGUAGCGGUGAAAUGCGCAGAUAUCAGGAGGAACACCGGUGGCGAAGGCGGGUCUCUGGGCCGUAACUGACGCUGAGGAGCGAAAGCCUGGGGAGCGAACAGG